AUUGAACGCUGGCGGCAGGCUUAACACAUGCAAGUCGUGGGGCAGCAGGGGUGUAGCAAUACAUCUGCUGGCGACCGGCAAACGGGUGCGUAACACGUACGCAACCUUCCCGUUACUGUGGCAUAGCCCAGGGAAACUUGGAUUAAUACCACAUAUUAUAUAGAGAGGGCAUCCUUUUUAUAUCAAAGCUUCGGCGGUAACGGAUGGGCGUGCGGUUGAUUAGGUAGUUGGCGGGGUAACGGCCCACCAAGCCUACGAUCAAUAGCUGAUGUGAGAGCAUGGUCAGCCACACGGGAACUGAGACCCGGGCCCGACUCCUACGGGAGGCAGCAGUAAGGAAUAUUGGGCAAUGGACGAAAGUCUGACCCAGCCAUGCCGCGUGAAGGAUUAAGGUCCUCUGGAUUGUAAACUUCUUUUCUCUGGGGCGAAAACCAGCUAUUCUUAGCUAUUUGACAGUACCAGAGGAAUAAGCACCGGCUAACUCCGUGCCAGCCGCCGCGGUAACAC
rnacentral:rRNA from 1 species